rnacentral:rRNA from 1 species
UUACGGGAGGCAGCAGUAAGGAAUAUUGCGCAAUGGGCGACAGCCUGACGCAGCGACGCCGCGUGGGGGAUGAAGGUCUUCGGAUUGUAAACCCCUUUCGGCAGGGAAGAUGGAACGGGUAACCGUUCGGACGGUACCUGCAGAAGCAGCCACGGCUAACUUCGUGCCAGCAGCCGCGGUAAUACGAAGGUGGCAAGCGUUGUUCGGAUUUACUGGGCGUACAGGGAGCGUAGGCGGUUGGGUAAGCCCUCCGUGAAAUCUCCGGGCCUAACCCGGAAAGUGCGGAGGGGACUGCUCGGCUAGAGGAUGGGAGAGGAGCGCGGAAUUCCCGGUGUAGCGGUGAAAUGCGUAGAGAUCGGGAGGAAGGCCGGUGGCGAAGGCGGCGCUCUGGAACAUUUCUGACGCUGAGGCUCGAAAGCGUGGGGAGCAAACAGGAUUAGAUACCCUGGUAGC